rnacentral:rRNA from 1 species
AAAAAGUUUGAUCCUGGCUCAAAACGAACGCUGGCGGCAGGCUUAACACAUGCAAGUCGAACGAAAUCUUCGGAUCUAGGGGCGGACGGGGGAGUAACGCGGGGGAACAUGCCCUUCACUACGGAAUAGUCCCGGGAAACUGGGUUUAAUACCGUAUACGCCCUUCGGGGGAAAAAAUUUCGGGGAAGGAUUGGCCCGCGUUAAAUUAGGUAGUUGGGGGGGUAAUGGCCUACCAAGCCUACGAUCUAUAGCUGGUUUUAAAGGAUGAUCAGCCACACUGGGACUGAAACACGGCCCAAACUCCUACGGGAGGCAGCAGGGGGGAAUCUUAAACAAUGGGCGAAAGCCUGAUCUAGCCAUGCCGCGGGAGGGACGAAGGCCUUAGGGUCGUAAAGCUCUUUCGCCAGGGAUGAUAAUGACAGUACCUGGUAAAAAAACCCCGGCUAACUCCGGGCCAGCAGCCGCGGUAAUACGGAGGGGGUUAGCGUUGUUCGGAAUUACUGGGCGUAAAGCGCGCGUAGGCGGAUUGGAAAGUUGGGGGGGAAAUCCCAGGGCUCAACCCUGGAACUGCCUCCAAAACUACUAGUCUAAAGUUCGAAAGAGGGGAGGGGAACUCCGAGGGUAAAGGGGAAAUUCGUAAAUAUUCGGAAAAACACCAGGGGCGAAGGCGGCUCACUGGCUCGAUACUGACGCUGAGGGGCGAAAGGGUGGGGAGCAAACAGGAUUAAAUACCCUGGUAGUCCACACCGUAAACGAUGAAUGCCAGUCGUCGGAUAGCAUGCUAUUCGGGGACACACCUAACGGAUUAAGCAUUCCGCCUGGGGAGUACGGCCGCAAGGUUAAAACUCAAAAAAAUUGACGGGGGCCCGCACAAGCGGGGGAGCAUGGGGUUUAAUUCGAAGCAACGCGCAGAACCUUACCAACCCUUGACAUCCUGAUCGCGGUUACGAAAGAUCGUUUCCUUCAGUUCGGCUGGAUCAGUGACAGGGGCUGCAUGGCUGUCGUCAGCUCGGGUCGGGAAAUGUUCGGUUAAGUCCGGCAACGAGCGCAACCCACAUCCCUAGUUGCCAGCAGUUCGGCUGGGCACUCUAUGGAAACUGCCCGGGAUAAGCGGGAGGAAGGGGUGGAUGACGUCAAGUCCUCAUGGCCCUUACGGGUUGGGCUACACACGGGCUACAAUGGGGGGGACAGUGGGUUAAUCCCCAAAAGCCAUCUCAGUUCGGAUUGUCGUCUGCAACUCGACGGCAUGAAGUCGGAAUCGCUAGUAAUCGCGUAACAGCAUGACGCGGGGAAUACGUUCCCGGGCCUUGUACACACCGCCCGUCACACCAUGGGAGUUGGGUUUACCCGAAAACGGGGCGCCAACCUUUAUAGGGGGCAGCUGGCCACGGUAAGCUCAGCGACUGGGGGGAAGUCGUAACAAGGUAGCCGGGG